GACGAACGCUGGCGGCGUGCUUAACACAUGCAAGUCGAACGGUAAGGCCCUUCGGGGUACACGAGUGGCGAACGGGUGAGUAACACGUGGGUGAUCUGCCCUGCACUUCGGGAUAAGCCUGGGAAACUGGGUCUAAUACCGGAUAGGACUCCUGGCUUCAUGGUGGGGGGUGGAAAGCUUUUGCGGUGGGGGAUGGGCCCGCGGCCUAUCAGCUUGUUGGUGGGGUAAUGGCCUACCAAGGCGACGACGGGUAGCCGGCCUGGGAGGGUGACCGGUCACACUGGGACUGAGAUACGGCCCAGACUCCUACGGGAGGCAGCAGUGGGGAAUAUUGCACAAUGGGCGCAAUCCUGAUGCAGCGACGCCGCGUGAGGGAUGACGGCCUUCGGGUUGUAAACCUCUUUCAGCUAUGACGAAGCGCAAGUGACGGUAGUAGCAGAAGAAGGACCGGCCAACUACGUGCCAGCAGCCGCGGUAA
rnacentral:rRNA from 1 species